rnacentral:misc_RNA from 1 species
UUAUUUUUUUAUUUUUUUAUUUUUGCCACUGACACUUUUGAGUGUUGAGUUUUUACUCUUCCCGCAAAGGCCAAUAGAUAUUUUCAAUGGAUGUUUUAUCACUAUUCUCUAAAGUCUAGACUACAAUCAAUAAGAAAAUUUCAUUUAUUUUAUUUGAAUUUUAAUUAAAAUUAAAACUUAUAUAUAAUAAUACCAUCAGCUUUGGAGACACAUGUUCGGCGAAAAAAUAAAUAAAUAAAUAAUAAGGUGGAGGAUUUAAUAUAUAGAAAAAAUUACUAUUAGUUUCCAUAUUUUAUCAAAAUUAACUAUUUAUUUUUAUAUUUUAAAAAAUAUAUUAUUUAAUUUUUAUAUUUUAUUUUUAUUACAUUAUUUAAUCUUUUUAUUAAAUUUUUCGUUAGUAAAUGUCAGUCAAACUACUAUUUAAUCUCCCUAUUUUAAAGAAAUUAAUUAGUU